GUCCUCUUUGGGCGGGGACAUCCGAUAAAAUUGGAACGAUACAGAGAAGAUUAGCAUGGCCCCUGCGCAAGAAUGACACACACAACUCGAGACCAUGGCUCGUACAUA